rnacentral:misc_RNA from 1 species
GUGGUGAGCCACUUCUUUCCUUUUUUUUUUCUAGGGCUUUUCACUCGUUCUGCCCUCACAGGAGGGAAUCAUGCCAGGCAUGAGUGACCGCCUCAAGGACAGGCUGAAGCAGAUGGCUCGGCAGACCCCCAACGGGUACCGUAAGCAGCGCCCCGGCAGCGGCCCACGGCACUUCGCCGACGACAACUACCCUUUUCACGCAAAGCGGCCGCGUGACGAGGAGGAGGAAGGGCCGCAGAGUAGCAAGUCCGGCAGCAGCCGUGUUCACAGUGGCAAGGAGGCGGGAAAGAGCGCCAGCGGCGACGGGGAGGGCGAGGUGCUCGGUGUCAUCCCGAAGAUCACCCUCGAAGACAUGGGCGGCUUGGCCAAGGAGCUGCCGGUAAUAAAAGAGCUCAUUGAGCUGCCCGUCCGCAUGCCGCACCUCUUUAACUGCCUCGGUGCAGAUCCGCCGUGCGGCGUCCUGCUGCAUGGCCCGCCGGGUGUCGGCAAGACAAAGCUCGUCCACGCCAUCGCCGGCUCGCUGCAGGUGCCCCUCUUUUUUGUCGCGGCGCCAGAGAUCGUCUCCGGCAUCAGCGGUGACAGCGAGGCAAAGCUGAGGAACUUGUUCAUGGACGCCAUAGCGGCGGCGCCGAGCAUUGUUUUCAUCGACGAGAUCGACACCAUCGCGGGCCGUCGCGAGGACGCCCAGCGCGCAAUGGAGAGUCGCAUCGUUGGACAGCUGCUUACGUGCAUGGAUCAGGUGUCGCAGGCCUGGCGACAGCACAACAAGGUGGUUUGCGUCAUGGGGGCGACAAACCGCCCAGAGGCGUUGGACACGGCGCUGCGCCGCGCCGGCCGGUUCGAUCGGGAAAUUGCCCUCGGCAUCCCCUCAAUCGACGAGCGACAGAGCAUCCUCAGUAUCAUCUGCGCGAAAAUCAACUUGUCCGACGGCGUCGAUUUCUUUGAGCUCGCCAACAUGACCCCCGGCUACGUCGGCGCAGACCUGCACCUUCUCGUCAAGGAGGCUUGCAUCCUCGCCAUCCGCCGCAAGUACAAGGAGCUGGACGAGCGUGGCGCUGUGGACGAUGUAAAGACGGAAGAGCUCUCCGGGUUCUGCGUCACAUUCGAUGAGCUGAAGGAGGCGACGACGCGGGUGCAGCCGUCGGCGAUGCGAGAGGGCUUCACGACGAUCCCGAACGUCUCGUGGGACGACGUCGGCGCCCUCGAGGACGUGCGCGAGGAGCUCAUGACCAGCAUCUUGCAGCCUAUCCGCGCCCCGAAGUUGCAUCACCGCUUCGGUCUCGACCACCCCGUCGGCGUGCUGCUCUACGGCCCACCGGGCUGCGGCAAGACACUGGUCGCAAAGGCAAUCGCGAACCAAUCGGGCGCCAACUUUAUCUCCAUCAAGGGUCCAGAGCUGCUCAACAAGUUCGUUGGCGAGAGUGAGCGCAGCGUGCGCAUGGUCUUCGCGCGUGGGCGGGCCAGCGCCCCAUGCGUCCUCUUUUUCGACGAGCUGGAUGCACUGGCACCGCGCCGCGGGUCGGACCGGGCAAACCCGAGCAGCGAGCGCGUAGUGAACCAGCUGCUGACCGAGCUGGACGGUGUGGAGGGGCGCAAGGAUGUUUACGUGAUCGGGGCCACGAACCGCCCCGAUAUGAUCGAUUCUGCCAUGCUGCGCCCAGGUCGCCUGGACAAACUGUUAUACGUGCCGCUGCCGUCGCCUGCGCAGCGUGAAUCGAUUCUGCGGACGCACGCCCGCAAGUACCCGGUGGAUGCCGAGGUGAGCCUGGAAAGGCUGGCGCAUGACGAGCGGCUCACCGGCUUCAGCGGCGCCGACUUGGCCGCCCUAAUGCGCGAGGCGUCGCUGACCGCACUGAAGGGCGUGUACAAGUCCCACACGAAAGACGAGCUGGAGGAGCUGGAGCGCGACAUCACCGGCAAGAGUGCCGAUACGGCGGAUCUGCCCACCAUUACGGCAGACAACUUCGAGGCGAGCUUGGCAAAGAUCAAGCCGUCGGUGUCUGCGGCGGAUCGGGCAAAUUAUGAGAACAUGAGCAUCGAGAUACGCAACAACGCCAAGAAUACCGACUAAGACGAGACAUGCCCCGCGCUCGCAGGGUGACCUGAGCUGCUGCUGUUGCUGCUGCUUGCGCGUCUUGCCUUGUGAUCACCGCCCCCCCCCCUCUUCCUCCUCUUGCGUUGCCAAGGAAAUGCGCCUUGUCGCUCUUCGUGAGAGCUGAUGUCUCUCUCACUCGUGUGUGUGUGUGUAUGUGUGUGCGUGUGCGUUUUUUCAGAUCCGAUCAUCCCACUCUCACCGUUGCAUACGCGCAUAU